GACGAACGCUGGCGGCGUGCUUAACACAUGCAAGUCGAACGGAAAGGCCCUGCUUUUGUGUGGUUCUCGAGUGGCGAACGUGUGAGUAACACGUGAGUAACCUUCCCUUUACUUUGUGAUAACUUCAGGAAACUGGUGCUAAUACCUGAUAGGAGCUCCUGCUGCAUGGUGGGGUUUGGAAAGUUUCGGCGGUUGUGGAUGUACUCGCGGCUUAUCAGCUUGUUGGUGGGGUAGUGGCUUACCAAGGCUUUGAAGGGUAGCCUGCCUGAGAGGGUGAACGGCCACAUUGGGACUGAGAGACGGACCAGACUCGUACGGGAGGCAGCAGUGGGGAAUAUUGCACAAUGGGCGGAAGCCUGAUGCAGAAACGCCGCGUGCGGGAUGACGGCCUUCGGGUUGUAAACCGCUUUAGCCUGUGACGAAGCGUGAGUGACGGUAAUGGGUAAAGAAGCACCGGCUAACUACGUG
rnacentral:rRNA from 1 species